rnacentral:rRNA from 1 species
GUGCCUAACACAUGCAAGUCGAGCGAGAAAGGGUAGCAAUAUCCGAGUACAGCGGCGCACGGGUGAGUAACACGUGGGUAAUCUGCCUCGAAGUGGGGAAUAACACCGGGAAACCGGUGCUAAUACCGCAUAAUCUGAUGGGAUCUGCGGAUUUUAUCAGCAAAGGAGCAAUUCGCUUUGAGAGGAGCCCGCGGCUGAUUAGCUAGUUGGUGAGGUAAUGGCUCACCAAGGCCACGAUCAGUAGCCGGUCUGAGAGGACGGUCGGCCACACUGGAACUGAGACACGGUCCAG